UCGAGCGAGCGAUAAGGUGAAUUUUUUCGGAAUGAAGCCAUAUUGACUUAGCGGCGGACGGGUGAGUAACGCGUGGGUAACCUGCCUCAUACAGGGGGAUAACAGUUAGAAAUGACUGCUAAUACCGCAUAAGCGCACGGGACUGCAUGGUCCAGUGUGAAAAACCGAGGUGGUAUGAGAUGGACCCGCGUCUGAUUAGCUGGUUGGCGGGGUAACGGCCCACCAAGGCGACGAUCAGUAGCCGACCUGAGAGGGUGGCCGGCCACAUUGGGACUGAGACACGGCCCAAACUCCUACGGGAGGCAGCAGUGGGGAAUAUUGCACAAUGGGGGAAACCCUGAUGCAGCAACGCCGCGUGAGUGAAGAAGUAUUUCGGUAUGUAAAGCUCUAUCAGCAGGGAAGAGAAUGACGGUACCUGACUAAGAAGCCCCGGCUAACUACGUGCCAGCAGCCGCGGUAAUACGUAGGGGGCGAGCGUUAUCCGGAUUUACUGGGUGUAAAGGGAGCGUAGACGGUUCUGCAAGUCUGAAGUGAAAGCCCGUGGCUUAACCGCGGAACGGCUUUGGAAACUGUGGAACUGGAGUGCUGGAGAGGCAAGCGGAAUUCCUAGUGUAGCGGUGAAAUGCGUAGAUAUUAGGAGGAACACCAGUGGCGAAGGCGGCUUGCUGGACAGUAACUGACGUUGAGGCUCGAAAGCGUGGGGAGCAAACAGGAUUAGAUACCCUGGUAGUCCACGCGGUAAACGAUGAAUGCUAGGUGUUGGGGAGCAAAGCUCUUCGGUGCCGCCGNCAACGCAGUAAGCAU
rnacentral:rRNA from 1 species